GAUGAACGCUGACAGAAUGCUUAACACAUGCAAGUCGAUUCAAUUUACCUUCGGGUAUUGAGGAUGGCGGACGGGUGAGUAACGCGUAAGGAACUUGCCUCUUGGUCUGGGACAACUGUUGGAAACGACAGCUAAUACCGGAUAUUAUGAGAUUCUCGCAUGAGAAACUUAUGAAAGCUAUAUGCGCCAAGAGAGAGCCUUGCGUUCCAUUAGCUAGUUGGUGGGGUAACGGCCCACCAAGGCGACGAUGGAUAGCCGGCCUGAGAGGGUGAACGGCCACAAGGGGACUGAGACACGGCCCUUACUCCUACGGGAGGCAGCAGUGGGGAAUAUUGGANNAUGGGNNNNAAGCCUGAUCCAGCAAUUCUGUGUGCACGAUGAAGGUCUUCGGAUUGUAAAGUGCUUUCAGUUGGGAAGAAGAAAGUGACGGUACCAACAGAAGAAGCGACGGCUAANUACGUGCCAGCAGCCGCGGUAAUACGUAUGUCGCAAGCGUUAUCCGGAUUUAUUGGGCGUAAAGCGCGUCUAGGCGGAAAAAUAAGUCUGANGUUAAAAUGCGGGGCUCAACUCCGUAUUGCGUUGGAANCUGUUUUUCUAGAGUACUGG
rnacentral:rRNA from 1 species